CAGGCCUAACACAUGCAAGUCGAACGAUGCUUUCGGGCAUAGUGGCGCACGGGUGCGUAACGCGUGGGAAUCUGCCCUUGGGUUCGGGAUAACCGUUGGAAACGACGGCUAAUACCGGAUGAUGACGUAAGUCCAAAGAUUUAUCGCCCAGGGAUGAGCCCGCGUCCGAUUAGGUAGUUGGUGGGGUAAAGGCCUACCAAGGCGACGAUCCUUAGCUGGUCUGAGAGGAUGAUCAGCCACACUGGGACUGAGACACGGCCCAGACUCCUACGGGAGGCAGCAGUGGGGAAUAUUGGACAAUGGGCGAAAGCCUGAUCCAGCAAUGCCGCGUGAGUGAUGAAGGCCUUAGGGUUGUAAAGCUCUUUUACCCGGGAAGAUAAUGACGGUACCGGGAGAAUAAGCCCCGGCUAACUUCGUGCCAGCAGCCGCGGUAAU
rnacentral:rRNA from 1 species